rnacentral:rRNA from 1 species
GCUCAGGACGAACGCUGGCGGCGUGCUUAACACAUGCAAGUCGAACGGAAAGGCCCUGCUUUUGUGGGGUGCUCGAGUGGCGAACGGGUGAGUAACACGUGAGUAACCUGCCCUUGACUUUGGGAUAACUUCAGGAAACUGGGGCUAAUACCGGAUAGGAGCUCCUGCUGCAUGGUGGGGGUUGGAAAGUUUCGGCGGUUGGGGAUGGACUCGCGGCUUAUCAGCUUGUUGGUGGGGUAGUGGCUUACCAAGGCUUUGACGGGUAGCCGGCCUGAGAGGGUGACCGGCCACAUUGGGACUGAGAUACGGCCCAGACUCCUACGGGAGGCAGCAGUGGGGAAUAUUGCACAAUGGGCGGAAGCCUGAUGCAGCAACGCCGCGUGCGGGAUGACGGCCUUCGGGUUGUAAACCGCUUUCGCCUGUGACGAAGCGUGAGUGACGGUAAUGGGUAAAGAAGCACCGGCUAACUACGUG